AGGGAAGUCAGGGGCGGACGGCUCAGUAACACGUGGGUAAUCUACCCUCGGGUCGGGGAUAACCCCGGGAAAUUGGGGCUAAUACCCGAUAGGGGGAGAGGUCUGGAAGGAUCCUCCUCCGAAAGCUCCGGCGCCCGAGGAUGAGCCUGCGGCCGAUUAGGUUGUUGGUGGUGUAACGGACCACCAAGCCUGCGAUCGGUACGGGCAGUGGGAGCUGUCGCCCGGAGAUGGGGGCUGAGACACGGNCCCAGGCCCUACGGGGCGCAGCAGGCGCGAAAACUCCGCAAUGCUCGCAAGAGCGACGGGGGGACCCCAAGUGCCCCCGCACUGNANGGGCUUUUGCGGAGUGUAAACAGCUCCGCGAAUAAGGGCUGGGCAAGACCGGUGCCAGCCGCCGCGGUAACACCGGCGGCCCGAGUGGUGGCCACUAUUAUUGGGCCUAAAGCGUCCGUAGCCGGUCCGGUAAGUCCCUGUGUAGACCCUCAGGCUCAACCUGAGGAAUUG
rnacentral:rRNA from 1 species